GACGAACGCUGGCGGCGUGCUUAACACAUGCAAGUCGAACGGAAAGGCCCUGCUUGCAGGGUACUCGAGUGGCGAACGGGUGAGUAACACGUGGGUUAUCUGCCCUGCACUUCGGGAUAAGCCUGGGAAACUGGGUCUAAUACCGGAUAGGAGCCAUUUUUAGUGUGAUGGUUGGAAAGUUUUUUCGGUGUAGGAUGAGCUCGCGGCCUAUCAGCUUGUUGGUGGGGUAAUGGCCUACCAAGGCGGCGACGGGUAGCCGGCCUGAGAGGGUGGACAGCCACAUUGGGACUGAGAUACGGCCCAGACUCCUACGGGAGGCAGCAGUGGGGAAUAUUGCACAAUGGGCGCAAGCCUGAUGCAGCGACGCCGCGUGGGGGAGGACGGCCUUCGGGUUGUAAACUCCUUUCGCUAGGGACGAAGCUUUUUGUGACGGUACCUAGAGAAGAAGCACCGGCUAACUACGUG
rnacentral:rRNA from 1 species